GCAUCCAUUGCCUAGUGGCCGAAGGCAUUCGACUCAUAAUCGAAUUUCCGUAAGGACAUCGCUGGUUCGAAUCCAGCUGGAUGCA
rnacentral:tRNA from 1 species